GACGAACGCUGGCGGCGUGCCUAAUACAUGCAAGUUGAGCGCUGAAGGUUGGUACUUGUACCAACUGGAUGAGCAGCUAACGGGUGAGUAACGCGUGGGGAAUCUGCCUUUGAGCGGGGGACAACAUUUGGAAACGAAUGCUAAUACCGCAUAAAAACUUUAAACACAAGUUUUAAGUUUGAAAGAUGCCAUUGCAUCACUCAAAGAUGAUCCCGCGUUUUAUUAGCUAGUUGGUGAGGUAAAGGCUCACCAAGGCGAUGAUACAUAGCCGACCUGAGAGGGUGAUCGGCCAAAUUGGGAAUGGGAAAAGGCCCAAACUCCUACGGGAGGCAGCAGUAGGGAAUCUUCGGAAAUGGACGAAAGUCUGACCGAGCAACGCCGGGUGAGUGAAGAAGGUUUUCGGAUCGUAAAACUCUGUUGGUAGAGAAGAACGUUGGUGAGAGUGGAAAGCUCAUCAAGUGACGGUAACUACCCAGAAAGCGACGGCUAACUACGUG
rnacentral:rRNA from 1 species